rnacentral:rRNA from 1 species
AUGGAACCAAAAAUUGCGGACUUUGGGAUAUCAAGAUGCUUUGAUGAAGGAAUAUCAAGAGUUUACACCAAAAUCCUUCGUGGAACAAUGGGAUAUAUUGCACCAGAGACCAUAAAGAAUGGAGAAAUAACAUUCAAGUCAGAUAUAUAUGGUUUGGGUAUUAUAAUUAUAAAGUUGUUAACAAUGGGUAACUACUCUGAUUUUGAAAGUUGGCAUACAUCUUUAGACAUGGACCACCCACAAGUAAGGAGCUGGGCCGAAAUAGCUCAAACAUGUGUGCAUACAGACCAACAUAAGAGACCUACAAUAUGCAAGAUCAUGCAAAAGAUGAAUGAGAUAGAUAGCAUGUGA